AGUAGCUCCACCGCAUUCCGCUGACAGGCGCCCCAAGCAACCCUCCCCCGCGAGAAGGUCAAGUGCCACUGGAACGCUCUUCUUGGAGUCCCAAACUUGGGGUCACAUGCCACAGGAGAAUUAAGCUGCUCUCAGACCUAGAAGAAACAUCCAGGCUCCGGAUCAGCUGUGUGCAAGCAUCAGCCUGGGGAACGGGUUAGAGCAGUGGUUGUGGCGGGCCCUGGAGGAUGGAGAUAACGUCAGAUAAACAGGUGCGUGCCUCCCUCCGCCCCUCAGAUACCCGGCCCGACGUUCUUUACAGCCCUGCUCAGGUAGAUCAUUAUUAUCAUAAAUUUUCUUAUCUCUGAUGCUUUUCCAAUUACGGGUAACAACAGGAAAGCCGCCGUUGGCUUCUGAAAGGUCACCAAGACGUAGAGCCAUUUGGGAAGGGGUGACGUGCGGCUGGCAGUGUAAAUCUCUACAAGUUUUAUGUACAAGUCAGGGCAGAAAUGUAAGUGAGAUUCGUAAAACAUAUCUAGAUUUACGGGGUCUCAGCGGGUGAAUAGUGCCUCUCCUCUCAAGCUGUGGGUGUGGGAUUUAACAACUGUUCUUUCCCAGGGUUGGCACACAGCUCCUAGUGACGCAUCUGGACAGAGCCAGCCAGCAUGCCGAGUAUCCUCCUGAGGAUGAUGUUGGCUGUGCAAGUGGCAGCUUGUGAUUUCGGCACGAACGGAAGCCCUGCACUUGGAGCCUGCCAGGCAGGGGUGAGCUCCUUUGUCCGUGAGCUCCUUUGUCUUUGGAGCCUGCCUGGCACUGGAGCCAAGGCUGGGAUGAGGAGAAGUCGGUCAGUCAGCCAGCAGAGACUGAAGUUAGCUUCUGCCAUGGCAUUCAGGGAUAACAGACCAAACGCUCCUCCUACCCCAGGACACCUGGCAGCAUUUGCCAUCGUGGGCUGGGGGGUUGGGGGGUGGGGAGCAGGAGUAAAGCUUCCUGGGAAUUAAUUGAGCUGGAGCUGUCAGAGGAGCCAGUGGGCUGGGUUAGGCUUGGGUUCUGACCACCCGGAGCCAAUCUAGG
rnacentral:lncRNA from 1 species